ACCACACUGACUUAACACUGUGACCUCUGCUCUGCUGGCUGCUCCCACGGCCUGGGAGGGCUUCUCUCCUUCCCUGUUUUCCAUCCCCAGUACAAACAGGCACAGAGACACAGAAUCCUCCCCAAAGCUGGAAAAAGCCCCAGGUGAGAAGUCAAACACACAGCACGUGUUGGCACUCAGGAAGAAGCCUACAGUCCUGCUUCCCCCUCCUGCUGCCUGUGCUGCUGAGGAUGGAUCCCAGGACAUGGGGAAUUUCCUGGGCUAGUGUUCCUCAGUAUUUGUGCAAGGCUUUGAAGCACUGCAUGACAUGGAGACUGUCAUUGAUUAGUCCUCGCUGAAAGUGACAGGAUUUGAGCCUCUGAUCUGGACAUUCUGACCACUGGGAAAGGCUUAAUCUUCUACUGGUAAAUCCUUCCUUGAGCAGAAAUUAAUUAUAUCCUGGAAAUGUCCAUUUCUCUCCACUGUGCAAUGGCCAUCCAAGCCCAGACACAUCCUAAAACAUCACAGACAUGAAGAGUUUGAUGAGAUGAAUCACAGCCCAGAGAUCAGAAGGAUGAGUUACUAGAGCAACCCUCACCCAACUUAUCUCUGUAUUGAUAAAUCAAUACUUAUUUACUAAUCCAGUUACUAAUAAUAGACUAUAUUUUAAUGUCAACAUACUAAUCCUAUUUUAUACUUAAAUGUAGUGUAUUAUUAGUGACAUUUAUAUUUUUGCUGCAAUUUGUAAUGCUAAUUAUCAAUAUUUAUUAAUUUAGGAAGUAUUUACUACUUAAAUAAUACAAAUUUUUUUUGUGGGAACAGCCCCUUGGUCUUGUAAAUUUCUCAACUCCUAAAAUGUCAUGUUCCAGGGAAAUGUAUUACUAUCUGUUUUACAAUAUUCUGAGAUCAUAGAUUAAUUGCCCAAUAUCAGAGCUAUCCACAGCAAGAGACACAACUUUGGUAAAAGGCCCAACACUUGGGAUUGAGGGAUAAUGAAAUCAAGGUUGCAGUCUGUUUAACAGUGCUGGGAUCCAUCAUUCCAAAUAGGAAAGCCAGGAUGCAUAAACUUCACAGAGGUAAAGGGAAAAGAACAAACUAUUUCACCUGGCAUUGCCCAGAGAAAUAGCGCUUGGAAAAUGCACACUACUGAUGUGAGACUAAGAGCUCUCUUAAAUUAAUAUCAACCAGCAUCAGGACAAUUUAAAAUAAAUUAAUAAAAUAGUUUGACUGUCAUCAGAAUAUGGGGGAAACUCGUCCAGAUAAAAUAUUAGAUUCUGAUCUACAAGGUGCCACGAUUGUCAAACAUCCUCAAUUCCAGAGUUCAAGAUUCCUUGAAUAUAUACAAAAUACUCAAGAAUCAAAAAAUAUGUGUGUUGUACAUGGCCAUCUGUUAUAUCAUAAACAUUAACUCUCCUCACUCUGUUGAAAGAAGUAAAAACAGAUUAAAGUAAUUGGAAAGACAUUUUUCAUAAAUUGAACGCUGGCACACUGAGUGUAAUCAAGACAAAUUCUCUGCUCAGAGUAGCUCUCCCUGUUCUGCCCACUGAUUGCCCUGAGCAGAGAGGAAACCUUACGAGAUAUCCAAGUGGUAAUUGGCAAAUUUAUCUGGAGUGAAAAAUGCUCUGGAGCUCAGAGGAGAGAUCAACCCCCAGCCCUUCCCUCCUGACUCUUCCCAGUCCUCCCAGGAACACCCAGGUGGGAACAAGCAGGAAUCAAUGCUGCCUGCCCGGGUGGGAGCAAAGUCCCAUCGAUUCUCUGUGGGGUCAAGAAAAGUUGAGGGAGUUCAACAUCCCUUGGAAUCAACACCUCCAAAUGAGGGAUAAAGACCUCUUUUUCAGCCAGCACUGAUGCUGUACCUAUUUUCAGCCCCAUUUUCUUGAUUUGCUCAAGUUAUUGCUGCAAUUAAGGGCACGAAUUGGGGAACUGCAGACAAAGGAAAAGCAGCUUCAAGAUUGCCAUUGUAUUUGUAUUUACCAUUAAGAGUGACUCAUCUGAAGGAUGGGCAAGAGUAAAUAAACAGAGCUAAAUAAAGAAAAAUCUGCAGUUCACCUGAGGCUUCCAAGGUGUAAUGAGGUUGUUGAUAUUUGGUAUUUUCAAGGUAAGUUAGGGCUUGUAAUGGAAAAUAUUAUUAAUAGGGCUUGCUCCUUUUCAUAUCCAAAAAGAAUUAACAAGUUUGGAUUACUUCUGCAGAGGAAAAGCAAAGGUGGGAGUGUCAAGCAGAAAUGAAAACUUUGAACUGGGACAGUCCUGGAAAUCUCAGGCUGCAGAGCAUUUUCUGAGGAAGGUUUCAAUUAACAGAGACAUUGACAGGAAUCAAGGCCAAGCACUUGAGAUGUAAGAUGACAAAUUCAUGCCACAAGCUGUAGUUCUGUCAGAGCUUUGCUUAAUGCCCCUGUCCCUUCACCAUGCUGUGAAUGACUAGAGAAAUUAAUUGAUUUUCUCCACCAGAAUAAAACCUUAACGACCUACAGGCAGUGGAGAAAGGUCUGUGGUGCAGACCCAGGACACCUGGCUGAAAAGAUCAUUUUCCUUUGUUUAGGGACUGCUGGAAAGAAACUUGGCCAUGGCAUCUCUGAUUAAUACAAAAACUGUUCACUCUUGAAAGAAGCAAGAGUCCACGUUCAGAUCUCCAUUUUUGGACACACAGAAAUCUAUAAAUACAGAGGUAAUUGUGGAUACACAGCAUGAAAUAGCUUUCAGCUCAAAGUGAACCCUACCAGUGCAUUCCUUCCGCUGGCCCUGCUUCCAUAACUUCUGUGGAUAACAGCAAAGAAACUUGAUGUGGGCUUGGAAAAUGUCUUGGGGGGAACCAGUUGUUCAGUUCCAACAUUCUGCCCUGAAGGCACUGAAAUAAUGUCAGAAAUAACUGAUUUUGCUGACAAAAAUAAAGUAGGCGCCAAAACAUACCAGUAGAGCAGUAAAAUGCAAAUGUUGGGGACAGAGCUGAAGAGAAAACUAAACAUAAUUCACUCUAAAUUAUUUCUGUUAUAAAUAAUAAUUGUUAAUUGUUUCAGUCAGCAUCAAGAAUAAUUUGUUUAGUUGCUCAUUAUACUUUUUUUUUUUUUUAAUUAUAGGAACAGAGACACAAAUAUAACAUGGCAGAUGUGCUCUUAAAACUCUGUGUUUAGGUAAGAGUUUCUUCACUGACCCUGAAUUAAGGUUUCUAAAAGUAAGAAAUAGCUUUUUCCCACUAAACUCUGCUAUUAAAUGGGGAAACUUGGAUGACUGUACAAGGUUUGUACAAAUAAAUUGUCUGUUUGUUUUGCUGGUGGAAGAACAUGAUCCAGACUUAGAAGCAGGGUGGCCCCUUGUAAAGGAGGAACCUGGGCUCCAGGGUGUCCUUCAGACCUCUGAGCUCUGUUACAAGUUGACAAGACCAUUUGAGAAAGGCACUGUGAUGGUCAAUCUUUGUCAUACCUCUCUUGGAGGCCAUACAGAAUUACCAUCCCACCUCUCAGUGGGUUUAAGGUUACCUCAGGAGCAUUUCUGAUCCUGAAAUGAAUCAUGUGUGUCUUGGACAUGGUGGCUUUACCAGUUGUUGGUUUCUCUGGGUUUGGACUGAAGGCACUUGAGAUAGUAGUUCAUGUUUGGACUAAAAUGUUUAUUAUUUCUUAUCAAUGAAACAGUCUCACUACUGUGAGUUCGGCAGCUUUUCAUUAGAAGGCACAAAAUGGCCAACAAUCUCUUUUUAAAGGCCUUUUAAGAAUAAACUAUCUAAUUUAGAACUGACACCUAGAUUAUUUCCCCUUUUAACCCAGUAAAUGAUCCCUAAAAGCCCACAAUGCAGACUGUUCUGCCCAAUUACAAAAUACCACCCAAACCUAGGAAGAAGAAGGAUGAAGAAUAAACCCAGGAUGACGCCCUGUGCCCUCCAUCUUGCUUCCAUCCACAACAUACUAAAAAUCCCAAAACCUAAAUUUCUCACCAAGUGUUACACCUACACCACUUUAUAAUCUAUUUCACACUUUAGUGGAUUCUAGUCUAUCUUGAAGUUUAGGAAACUUUCUCCAUGAAUGAGGGUGAAAGUGAGUGUUCCUCUGGGGAUCAGGACACGCCAGAGCAGACAGAGAAAUAUUCCCUGGGUUUACACAGACACCACCAUCAUUCCAGCUGUGGAGGUGCUGCUUUCUUUCACAGGGCUCUCAAGGCAUUUAUUUGGGCUUAGGUGGAACUUCUGUAGCUUUGAGAAAGCUGCUGGUUGCUCUGCCUGUGGUGCCUCCAGAUGUCCAAAAACAAAUGUGGAAGCUGCUGUGGGUAGGGGUGUCCAUUUCUGCAUCAACAGAGAUGAAGUUGCACCUUCACUGCCAGGUGAGGGCUUGAAUUCACAGAGCUGAGGCUGAGCUCUCAAUCCAUUGCAGUGCUUAGGUGUUGAUUUACUCUUUGGCUUAAGUCAAAGAAAUAGGAAUGUGAGAAAUAGUAAAGGUAAAAAGAUUUCCAGAAAGCUGUAAAAGCAGGCCUAAGAAACAGAAAGAACAAGAGAAGUAGCUGCAGCUGCAAAGUCUGAAAGUAGAGAAAGUUACAAUGGUAUAGCAAGCAAGGAGAUUACACAGUAGCUUGAAUUCUAGGCUUGGCUAAGGUAGACCUUAAGACUGCAGGAAAAUAUGCUUAGCAAGAUAGCAGAAAGUUUUAAGCUUAAUAAUGGUGUAUUAUGUAUUGUCAAAGAAAGAAGACAAGCAAGAGUUGUGUGAAACAGGUGUACCUGUACUAAUUGCCUAAAACAAUUGUCUGUAAGCUUUAGCAAUAUGCUAUUGGCUAGAAAGUUUUUAAAACGUUUUGUAACAAAGAAAUCUUUGGCUGCUGCUGUAUGUGAACUUUGCCAUCUUCCUCUUGUCUCAACCAUGUAAUGAGGCUGAUGCUGCAAAUAAAGC